rnacentral:rRNA from 1 species
AGGUAACAUCAAAUCGUACCCCAAACCGACACAGGUGGUCAGGUAGAGAAUACCAAGGCGCUUGAGAGAACUCGGGUGAAGGAACUAGGCAAAAUGGUGCCGUAACUUCGGGAGAAGGCACGCUGAUAUGUAGGUGAAGCGACCUGCUCGUGGAGCUGAAAUCAGUCGAAGAUACCAGCUGGCUGCAACUGUUUAUUAAAAACACAGCACUGUGCAAACACGAAAGUGGACGUAUACGGUGUGACGCCUGCCCGGUGCCGGAAGGUUAAUU